rnacentral:rRNA from 1 species
GUGGGGAAUAUUGGACAAUGGGCGAAAGCCUGAUCCAGCCAUGCCGCGUGUGUGAAGAAGGUCUUCGGAUUGUAAAGCACUUUAAGUUGGGAGGAAGGGCAGUAAGUUAAUACCUUGCUGUUUUGACGUUACCGACAGAAUAAGCACCGGCUAACUUCGUGCCAGCAGCCGCGGUAAUACGAAGGGUGCAAGCGUUAAUCGGAAUUACUGGGCGUAAAGCGCGCGUAGGUGGUUUUGUAAGUUGGAGGUGAAAUCCCCGGGCUCAACCUGGGAACUGCCUCCAAAACUGCAUGACUAGAGUACGGUAGAGGGUAGUGGAAUUUCCUGUGUAGCGGUGAAAUGCGUAGAUAUAGGAAGGAACACCAGUGGCGAAGGCGACCACCUGGACUGAUACUGACACUGAGGUGCGAAAGCGUGGGGGGCAAACAGGAUUAGAAACCCCGGUAGUCC